rnacentral:rRNA from 1 species
UAUAAAUGAAGAAUAACCGUACCUAGAAUCUGAAACAAGUAAGCUAGUAGAGAAUACGAAGGCGUAAAUGAGCUAACAAUCAUAAAGGAACUCGGCAAAUUGACUACCGUAACUUCGGAAUAAGGAGGGCUCAUUAUUCUUGAUUAAUAUCAAGUAAAGAGGAAGAAGCAUGAAAUAAUGUUGUACGACUGUUUAAUUAAAACACAGCACUCUGCUGAAAGAUUAAAAAUCUAAGUAUAGAGUGUGAUAUCUGCCCGGUGCCGGCUGGUUAACAGAGAUAAUUGAAUAUACUACUAUUUGAUGUCGACGGAAACCCCGGUUAAAGGCGGCCUUAACGUGAGGGUCCUAAGGUAGCGAAAUGCCUUGGCCGUUAAAUGCGGUCUUGCAUGAAUGGUGUAACGAUACAACAGCUGUCUCUAUGAUUGACUCAGUGAAAUUGGAAUAGCAGUGCAGAUACUGCUUACCUCUAGUUAGACGAGAAGACCCUAUGCAGCUUUACUGUCACUAAUUAUAGAUUAUGAUAGACAAUUUUCAGAUUAUAAGGUAAUUGAUUUAUGACAAUGAGAAACCUUUAUUUUUCUUUCAUAUGAAUGAAUUGGUUUAGGAGUAUAAGUAGAUUGUAAUUUAUGUGGCUUUACUGAGCCAAUUUGUUAAAUUAUAGUCUGUAUGCUUAUACUAGUAGAUCAGCCUAAUUCAACUUACUAUAUUUAUUAUAGUAAGUACCCUUUGGUAAGGAACUAUCGCUAGGGGACAGUUUAUGUGGGGCACAGACCCUGUAAAGAGUAAACAGGAGUGUCUAAAAAUUUAUAAAUAUUUUGUUUGCUAUUUUGAAUAGUUAAACUAUUCUUAAUCAUAUACAAUUAAUUAUAUUUGCAUUUAUUGUAAAUAUAGUUAAGAUUAGGUAGGAUUUUCACUAUAUAGAAAUUAGAGAUAAUAAAGAUAUUAUG